rnacentral:rRNA from 1 species
AGAGUUUGAUCCUGGCUCAGAACGAACGCUGGCGGCAGGCUUAACACAUGCAAGUCGAACGCGUGUAGCAAUACACGAGUGGCGCACGGGUGAGUAACGCGUGGAUAUCUGCCUUUUGGUUCGGAAUAACUCCGGGAAACUGGAGCUAAUACCGGAUGGUUCCUACGGGAUAAAGAUUUAUCGCCAAAAGAUGAGUCCGCGUACGAUUAGCUAGUUGGUGAGGUAAUGGCUCACCAAGGCGACGAUCGUUAGCUGGUCUGAGAGGACGAUCAGCCACACUGGGACUGAGACACGGCCCAGACUCCUACGGGAGGCAGCAGUGGGGAAUAUAGGACAAUGGGGGCAACCCUGAUCCAGCCAUGCCGCGUGAGUGAUGAGGGCCUUCGGGUUGUAAAGCUCUUUUGGCGGGGACGAUGAUGACGGUACCCGCAGAAUAG